UGGACGACAAAGGUCCUCGAUCAAACGCAAGAGAAACGCUAAUGAAUACAAACCCUUCACUUGUCAAGUCGCAAAAGCCCCUGUUUUGUGCGUGGUCGAGUUUUGAACUCAAAAACUUUUCACCUGCAGCUUUAACCAAUGGCGCCCCGUUGAUACGAAAGAGCUCACUUCUCAAUCUAACAAUGAACAACCCAAAAGACAUUGAAGAUUUGUUUAGCGAUGAAGAAGUGAAAAAGAUAAGAACAUCUUUGUUACAAUGGUACGACAAGAACCAGAGGGAGCUUCCUUGGAGAUACAAAAAAGAAAGUGAAUGUGCAUGUGAAAGUGAUAUUGAAAAGGAAAGGAGAGCAUAUGGUGUGUGGGUAUCAGAAGUCAUGUUGCAGCAAACCAGGGUUCAGACUGUUAUAGAGUAUUACAACCGUUGGAUGAAGAAAUGGCCCACCAUUUAUCACCUCUCUCAGGCCUCUCUUGAGGAAGUAAAUGAGAUGUGGGCAGGUUUGGGUUAUUACAGACGGGCACGUUUUUUGUUAGAGGGAGCAAAGAUGAUUGUUGCUGAGGGAGGUGGGUUUCCUAGUACAGUUUCUGCCUUACGGAAGGUUCCAGGAAUAGGUAACUAUACGGCUGGAGCAAUUGCCUCUAUCGCAUUCAAAGAGGUGGUGCCUGUGGUCGAUGGAAAUGUUAUAAGGGUGCUUUCAAGACAGAAGGCCAUUUCUGCUAAUCCAAAAGACUCUCUUACCGUCAAGAAAUUUUGGGUGCUAGCUGCUCAACUUGUCGAUCCUUGCUGGCCUGGGGAUUUCAACCAAUCUCUUAUGGAACUUGGUGCAGUGAUCUGCACUCCUUUGAACCCAGACUGCACGUCCUGUCCAGUUUCAGCCCAGUGUCGUGCAUUAUCUAUGUCCAAAUAUAAUAACUCAGUGCUGGUCACAGAUUUUCCGAUUAAGGUGGUAAAAACCAAACAGAGGCAUGAUAUUUCUUCUGCUUGUGUUGUGGAGAUAUUGGAAGCUGAAGAUGAAUCUGAGGAAAAACAACCUAACAGUGUAUUUCUUCUUGUAAAAAGACCAGAUGAAGGUUUGCUUGCUGGUCUUUGGGAGUUCCCAUCUAUCAUCUUGAAAGAAGAAUCUAACUUAACUAGGAGGAGGAAAGCCAUUGAUAGCUUUUUAAAGAAGUCAUUCAAUCUUGAUCCCCAAAAGAAUUGUAGCAUAGUUUUGAGAGAAGAUGUUGGAGAAUUUGUCCAUAUAUUCUCUCACAUUCGUCUUAAAAUUCAUGUGGAGUUGUUGAUAUUACGCCUUAAAGGUGGGAGGAAUGACUGGUUUGAGAAACAAGACAAAGGAGCUAUGACUUGGAAAUGUGUGGAAAGCAAUGCACUUUCAAGCAUGGGAUUGACAUCAGGAGUAAGGAAGGUGUACACUAUGGUUCAGAAAUUUAAGCAGAAUAAGUUGCCUGCUAGUUCCAUCUCAACUAGAAAAAGAACCAAUUCAAAGAAACAAAGAUGUUCCUAGACUGAAUCUUGUAGCAACAGCUCUUUCUUUUCACUAAAUCAACAAGAAAGUUUUCUACGUUGUCUUUUCCUUUCCUAUCAGAAAAUCAUUUUGCCUUCUCUAAAAUUUGCAGGUAAUGUGGUACAGCUGGCUCUCACUCUUAAAGAUAGGUUGGGAUCUGUUACAGAAGGCUACUUUGUGUGGCAUGUUUGAACAUAUAAAACACAGAUUUAUAUCAGUGUCUAUUGGUCAAAAUUUGUUGGUUUGUGCUCCAAUUACUGUAUUCUUCUGUUCAGGUAAUCAAGAAAUGAAACAAUGGAGCCGAAGACAAGCCUUACAUUUGAAAUCAUAGAACUGAAAGAUACCUCAAGAGUCCCUUGAGCUGACAAGCCAAGAGAUGUGGAGAGUGUUCAUCAAUUAAAUUCGGAAAUUUUGGACUACCAACUUGAGACAUCAAACCUGCUGAAUCUUUGCAGAGAAGCUGUCAUGGGACUUGGUUUCAAGUUUGUAUCAUUUAUGCCAUAGCUGCAAAAUUAGUGAUAAAAAGAAACCUUAUGGCGGCCAAAAGCUUCAUGAUCUGUAAACCCCUUAUAAAUUGAUGCAGGAGAGUUGCUCUUUACAUAGUGGGCAUAUGGUAAAUAAUUCUUCUUUAGUCUCUGAUAAUUGCAGGUGGCCUAAGUGUAAUAAGAAGGUGGACCAUCUUUGCUUAGAA